rnacentral:rRNA from 1 species
ACGCUCGACAUCUACGGAGGCAGCAGUGGGGAAUAUUGCACAAUGGGGGAAACCCUGAUGCAGCGACGCCGCGUGAGUGAAGAAGUAUUUCGGUAUGUAAAGCUCUAUCAGCAGGGAAGAAGAUGACGGUACCUGAGUAAGAAGCCCCGGCUAACUACGUGUCAGCAGCCGCGGUAAUCUGAGCGGGCUGGCAAGGC